UACGAAGGGGGCUAGCGUUGUUCGGAAUUACUGGGCGUAAAGCGCACGUAGGCGGAUCGAUCAGUCAGGGGUGAAAUCCCAGAGCUCAACUCUGGAACUGCCUUUGAUACUGUCGAUCUAGAGUAUGGAAGAGGUGAGUGGAAUUCCGAGUGUAGAGGUGAAAUUCGUAGAUAUUCGGAGGAACACCAGUGGCGAAGGCGGCUCACUGGUCCAUUACUGACGCUGAGGUGCGAAAAGCGUGGGGGAGCAAA
rnacentral:rRNA from 1 species